rnacentral:rRNA from 1 species
CCUACGUGUGGCAGCAGUGAGGAAUAUUGGUCAAUGGGCGCGAGCCUGAACCAGCCAAGUCGCGUGAGGGAAGACGGUCCUAUGGAUUGUAAACCUCUUUUGUCGGGGAGCAAAAGACGCCACGCGUGGCGUUCCGAGAGUACCCGAAGAAACAGCAUCGGCUAACUCCGUACCAGCAGCCGCGGUAAUACGGAGGGUGCGAGCGUUAGCCGGAUUUAUGGGGUUUAAAGGUUGCGCAGACGGAAGAUAAAGUCAGCGGUAAAAUUAAGAGGCUCAACCUCUUCGAGCCGUGGAUACUGGUAUUCUUGAGUGAGAGAGAAGUAUGCGGAAUGCGUGGUGUAGCGGUGAAAUGCAUAGAUAUCACGAAGAACUCCGAUUGCGAAGGCAGCAUACCGGCUCUCAACUGACGCUCAUGCACGAAAGUGUGGGUAUCGAACAGGAUUAGAUACCCUAGUAGUC